rnacentral:rRNA from 1 species
AGUGAAUAGAUACCCUGGUAGUCCCAGCUGUAAACGAUGCGCGUUAGGUGUAUCGGUGACCACGAGUUACCGAGGUGCCGAAAGGGAAACCGUGAAACGUGCCGCCUGGGAAGUACGGUCGCAAGGCUGAAACUUAAAGGAAUUGGCGGGGGAACACCACAACGGGUGGAGCCUGCGGUUUAAUUGGACUCAACGCCGGGCAGCUCACCGGGUAAGACAGCGGAAUGAUGGUCGGGCUGAAGACUCUACUUGACCAGCUGAGAGGAGGUGCAUGGCCGUCGUCAGUUCGUACUGUGAAGCAUCCUGUUAAGUCAGGCAACGAGCGAGACCCACGCCAACAGUUGCCAGCAUGUCCUCCGGGAUGAUGGGGACACUGUUGGGACCGCCUCUGCUAAAGAGGAGGAAGGAAUGGGCUACGGUAGGUCAGCAUGCCCCGAAUUACCCGGGCUACACGCGGGCUACAAUGGGCAGGACAAUGGGUAUCGACACCGAAAGGUGAAGGCAAUCUCCUAAACCUGUCCUUAGUUCGGAUUGUGGG